rnacentral:rRNA from 1 species
GUGGGGAAUCUUCCGCAAUGGGCGCAAGCCUGACGGAGCAACGCCGCGUGAGUGAAGAAGGGUUUCGACUCGUAAAGCUCUGUUGUCGGGGACGAAUGUGGAGAUGGUGAAUAACCAUUUUCAAUGACGGUACCUGACGAGGAAGCCACGGCUAACUACGUGCCAGCAGCCGCGGUAAUACGUAGGUGGCGAGCGUUGUCCGGAAUUAUUGGGCGUAAAGGGAGCGCAGGCGGGAAGGUAAGUCUAUCUUAAAAGUGCGGGGCUCAACCCCGUGAGGGGAUGGAAACUAUCUUUCUUGAGUGCAGGAGAGGAAAGCGGAAUUCCUAGUGUAGCGGUGAAAUGCGUAGAUAUUAGGAGGAACACCAGUGGCGAAGGCGGCUUUCUGGACUGUAACUGACGCUGAGGCUCGAAAGCGUGGGGAGCGAACAGGA